AGAGUUUGAUCCUGGCUCAGAUUGAACGCUGGCGGCAUGCCUUACACAUGCAAGUCGAACGGCAGCGCGGGGCAACCUGGCGGCGAGUGGCGAACGGGUGAGUAAUAUCGGAACGUACCCUGGAGUGGGGGAUAACGUAGCGAAAGUUACGCUAAUACCGCAUACGAUCUAAGGAUGAAAGUGGGGGAUCGCAAGACCUCAUGCUCCUGGAGCGGCCGAUAUCUGAUUAGCUAGUUGGUGGGGUAAAGGCCUACCAAGGCAUCGAUCAGUAGCUGGUCUGAGAGGACGACCAGCCACACUGGAACUGAGACACGGUCCAGACUCCUACGGGAGGCAGCAGUGGGGAAUUUUGGACAAUGGGCGCAAGCCUGAUCCAGCAAUGCCGCGUGAGUGAAGAAGGCCUUCGGGUUGUAAAGCUCUUUUGUCAGGGAAGAAACGGUGAAGGCUAAUAUCCUUUGCUAAUGACGGUACCUGAAGAAUAAGCACCGGCUAACUACGUGCCAGCAGCCGCGGUAAUACGUAGGGUGCAAGCGUUAAUCGGAAUUACUGGGCGUAAAGCGUGCGCAGGCGGUUUUGUAAGUCUGUCGUGAAAUCCCCGGGCUCAACCUGGGAAUUGCGAUGGAGACUGCAAGGCUAGAAUCUGGCAGAGGGGGGUAGAAUUCCACGUGUAGCAGUGAAAUGCGUAGAGAUGUGGAGGAACACCGAUGGCGAAGGCAGCCCCCUGGGUCAAGAUUGACGCUCAUGCACGAAAGCGUGGGGAGCAAACAGGAUUAGAUACCCUGGUAGUCCACGCCCUAAACUAUGUCUACUAGUUGUCGGGUUUUAAUUAACUUGGUGCCGAAGCUAACGCAUUAAGCAUUCCGCCUGGGGAGUACGGUCGCAAGGCUGAAACUCAAAGGAAUUGACGGGGGCCCGCACAAGCGGUGGAGCAUGUGGUCUAAUUCGACACCACGCGAAGAACCUUACCCAGGCUCGAACGGCAGAUGACAUUCUACGAAAGUAGGCUCUCGCAAGGGCAUCUGUCGAGGUGCUGCAUGGCUGUCGUCAGCUCGUUUCGUGAGAUGUUGGGUUAAGUCCCGCAACGAGCGCAACCCUUGUCUUCUGUUGCCAUCGGGUUAUGCCGGGCACUCUGAAGAGACUGCCGGUGACAAACCGGAGGAAGGUGGGGAUGACGUCAAGUCAGCAUGGCCUUUAUUUCUGGGGCCACACACGUGCUACAAUGGCCGGUACAAACCGUUGCGAUCUCGCGAGAGGGAGCUAAUCGGACAAAGCCGGUCUCAGUUCGGAUUGUAGGCUGCAACUCGCCUGCAUGAAGUUGGAAUCGCUAGUAAUCGCGGAUCAGCACGCCGCGGUGAAUACGUUCCCGGGCCUUGUACACACCGCCCGUCACAUCACGAAAGCUGGCUGUACUAGAAGUGGCCGAGCUAACCCGCAAGGGAGGCAGGUUCCUAAGGUAUGGUCAGUGAUUGGGGUGAAGUCGAAACAAGGUA
rnacentral:rRNA from 1 species